UACGUAGGGUGCGAGCGUUUAAUUCGGGAAUUACUGGGCGUAAAGCGUGCGCAAGGCGGUUCUCCAAGUCCGUUGUGAAAGCCCCGGGCUCAACCUGGGAAUGCAGUGGAAACUGGGGACUGAAUCUGGCGAGGGGGUGGAAUGGCCGCGUGUAAGCAGUGAAAUGCGUAGAGAUGUGGAGGAACACCGAUGGCGAAGGCAGCCCCCUGGGUCAAGAUUGACGCUCAUGCACGGAAAAGCGUGGGGGAGCAAACAGG
rnacentral:rRNA from 1 species